UACAGAGGGGGCAAGCGUUGUUCGGAAUUACUGGGCGUAAAGGGCGCGUAGGCGGCCUUCUAAGUCGAACGUGAAAUCCCUGGGCUCAACCCAGGAACUGCGUCCGAUACUGGGAGGCUUGAAUCCGGGAGAGGGAUGCGGAAUUCCAGGUGUAGCGGUGAAAUGCGCAGAUAUCGGGAAGAACACCCGUGGCGAAGGCGGUUCUCUGGGACGGUACUGACGCUGAGACGCGAAAGCGUGGGGAGCGAACAGG
rnacentral:rRNA from 1 species